rnacentral:lncRNA from 1 species
UAUACUUUUAGGACUAGUGAAUGAAAAUCAAAAGGUGGCAUCUCUGCAUCUCUGAAGUUCUGAGGAGAAAUCAUAUGGAGAACACACUGCUAGCUUGGCUCAGACUUUAUGCCCUGCUCUCCCCACAACCAGCUUGAGGCAACCUCCGGGUCAGAGAGGUGAUGAUGCAGCCUUACCCUGACAGCAGGCAUGGUUCUCCUCUUAUGUGAGCAUCAUAAAUCUACUUUUGUCUUUCCCCCUGCUAUACCCUCUAGGAAGAAAAACACAGUUCCAAACUCCAAAAUGUAUUAAUGAAAACUAUGCUUUUAUAAUGAUCCUCGGGACUUUUCUGUCAUUUUACUAAAUUGGAUGGCUACAUUACCUCAGUAUGGCAAUUAAUGAC